CCUACGGGCGGCAGCAGUGGGGGAUAUUGCACAAUGGGGGAAACCCUGAUGCAGCGACGCCGCGUGUGGGAAGACGGUCCUCUGGAUUGUAAACCACUGUCCCCAGGGACGAAGAUGACGGUACCUGGGGAGGAAGCUCCGCCUAAUUACGUGCCAGCAGCCGCGGUAAUACGUAGGGAGCGAGGGUUGUCCGGAAUUACUGGGUGAAAGGGGAGCGUAGGCGGGAUGGAAAGUUGGGUGUCAAAUCUACGGGCUAAACCGGUGGCCGCACUCAAAACUGCAGGUCUUGAGUGAAGGAGAGGCAGGCGGAAUUCCUAGUGUAGCGGUGAAAUGCGUAGAUAUUAGGAGGAACACCAGUGGCGAAGGCGGCCUGCUGGGCUUUUACUGACGCUGAGGCUCGAAAGUGUGGGGAGCAAACAGGAUUAGAUUCCCUUGUAGUC
rnacentral:rRNA from 1 species